rnacentral:lncRNA from 1 species
CAGCAGGCGAGCUCUUGGGCUUUCUGGUGAGGCAGACUGUAAUUAACAUUUGUAGAAGAAAGAGACUGGAAAGUGACUCCUACAGUCCCCCCCAUGUCCGCCGGAAACAGAAAAUCACCGACAUUGUCAACAAGUACCGGAACAAGCAGCUGGAGCCAGAGUUUUAUACUUCACUUUUCCAGGAGGUUGGACUCAAGAACUGCAGUUCUUAGACCACUGAAUUUCUAAGACUGUUGAACUCCAGUUUGGGAACUAUAACACAGCAGAACAGUUUGAUAGGUGAUCACUGUAAAAAUAAAAACAAAUCACUCCCAAGAGCUUACUGUUUAAUCACCAGAAUAGAAGAAACACAUUAUAACCCAUUUGAUAGAAGACUUUGGGCUAUCUAGUGAAAUGGGCUCCCAGACACAAUCAUACUCCUGCUGAUAAUGAUGAUAUACAUUUUAGCCAUAAACUUUCUUUUAAAAGUGACAAUUUUAGUUAAACAUAAGCCUUUUGAGGAGAAAGGCUUUUAUGCAUCUCAGUUAAACACGUGCAUUGGUAGUAUCAACAAAUUUGCAAUAUAGAAGUUGAAGAUAGUUUUAUACCUCACUUUUUAGGAGGUUGUAUUCAAAAUUAAAAUCUUUCUCAGAAUCUUACAGGACAUUUAAAGACUCAUGUUGAUAGCAUGGAGGAGAAGGAAAGAAGUCACAGCCUUCUACUCACUUGUAGGUCUUCUUGUCAUCCAGCUGUCACACUGACAAAAAGAAAAGAUGAUACAUGUUUUUUGCUCAGAUAAGAAGCCUGACAUUAAAAGAUGUCAUAUUUUUUUCUCCACAUUUCAAAAAGUUGUCCUUCUCAUCACUGCACAGAUCUGUCUGAAAGCCUCAGUUUCUGAGUGACCCAGGAACAGAUCAGAAAUGGAGCAUGGCCUUGUCCUUUAAUGGGGAUGCAAAUAAAGUUUGUGGGGUUAAAAGUUAUAAGACAGCAGUGAUACCCCACUCUCUCCAUUAUUGUCCAGCGGGGUGACAUAAUGACAGGACCAAGCAGCAAACUGCAGUAGUUUGUGAAGGAUUCUAAUAUGGGGUUCAGGAAUAGCCUCUCAACGCUACUAAUUCAGAUCUCUCCCAGAGAACUACUGGAUUUCCUCAUAAUUGACAAACAUGAGUGACCACCUCUUUGGGUGGCUACUGUUAGAAAUGGCUGUUGUUGUCAUGUUUUCUGGACUUUGCCAGCCAACAGAUCCCUGCCAGGUUUUGGAAAUACUUCUAUUACCUCGCUGCUACUUUUCUGCAGGGAUAAAACUUUUGAGGUGGCCAGACCCAGAACAUCCAAGGAUUCCUGUUACAGUGCUACAGUAUACACUGCUCAUUUAUCCUAUUCUCAUGUGCUUUCUUCUUUAGUAAGAUUAUUUUAAGAAAAUACGUGAUAUUUAAAGUCCAAAGAGGAAUGAUCACAGUUGUAUAAGGGGUGUUUUCCCACUUGAACUCUGAUGUCAGUUGACUGUGGGUCAGAGCUACAACCAUCUGUUUGGUUUGAUGUUUUGGUGGUUUACUUACGGAGUGGGGAUAGUGUGAGACCUAAUUCCCUGUGCAAAUGUCUCUUAUUCCAGAAAUGUGCAUUUUGUCAUCUAUAAGCAAGAAAUAUGGGCAUAGCAGCUCUUGGUUUAAAGUUUGCCAUAACCUGUUCAUGUUUGUUUUAAGCUCAGGUAAAGAUAACCUCCUCUUUCUAUGACUCCAGUUUCCAUUCAGGUUAUAGUAUUAUUCAAUAGUUGAUUUUCUUUUUAAGCUGGGCAAUAAAUUGAUGUUUCCAGAUGGUAACAUGGGAGAGGGCAUAUAGGAUAAAGAUGAGCAAAUUCUACCCUAAAAAUGUUCUAGUAGUUCACAGGAAGAAGAUGAGGUUUAAUAACUUUCAAGGUAAUUCUAGAUUGACAUUUUGAGGGGAAAAUGGGCUCUUGUUCUAGUUGAAGUGAGCAGAGAAGGCUAUAAAUUAGUAUGUAACUUACAGCAUUCCAGAGGUUAAAAAUAACUGAUGUAGAUGUACUUCUUCAGUGUGAUUCUUCAGAUCAAACUUUUACUUUUGGCAUAGUUAAUUUCAGAAAAAUGUGCUGUAUGUGUGUGUGUAUGAGGGUUGGUCUUGCUGAUCCUUGAGUUAGCUCUAAAUUCUGGCAACUUCUUGUAAUUCCAAUGUAUUUGAUACAUGAACAAUCAUGUUGAAUGCAUUUGUGAUCUGGGAGACUCCCUCGUCUUCCAGGGAAGGAAGGAUGUGCAGCCCCUGAAGGCAUGAAACUCCCAGUGUGUACGGAGCCAGUGGAAUAUGGGAUACCCAUACAUUACCAGGCGCUGGUUCCUUCUGCUUACAAUAACAUCUGCCCAAAGAGGGAGUGGGAAGAACCCUUAGCUCUUUCACUAGUAUGGAUUUGAGUUCAUGGUCACUAUUUUUACCCACCUGCCUGUGUUAAAAAUCACUUUGAGUAGAAUAGCACUGGAGGAACAUAUUUAGCACCUAAUAUUAAUAUUUAGUAGUCCAUUGAUAAAUUUGCCAGCAUAUGUUCUAGCCUCUGGUGGGAAACCAGGACCACUUUUGUCUGUGGCUUAAACAGUUCAGUUGCUAUAUCUGUUGGGUAUGCCGGGGGUGGAUGAGUGUGGCAUUCUGUGAAGAGGAAGGUGGUAAGUAAGGUUGCCCUUCUACUGCCUUCUUAAGUUGCAGGAGGGAGCUUUUCUCCUCCCCUCUGGUUGGGAGCACUGAGGACAGUGAGGAGGGCUUUUACCUUGUUAAUCCUUUCCUUAUUUAGCUAGCUUUCCUUUUUGUCUAGGGCUUCCUCCUGAGACCCUCUUCCAUCCAUUGGGCCUUUGAAAGGACUAAUCAGACACACACACACACACACACACACACUCGCAUACUCAUGCACAUUUUCCUUCAUUUCCAGAUCCUUUAUUUCACAGCAGCCCAUUUUCCUCUGGAUUCAUUGAUGAAUACAAGUACCCACACCUUUGGCCAGUAAUGUCAGUUACCUGCUGCAGGUUCUGUGUAUGAGGCCUUCAUGAACGGUUACCUUCUCCAUACACUAGGGAAGCAUUUGUCAGACUCUGCAGACUGGGUUCUAGAGAGGCAGAGUCUUAAAGAGUAUUCAUUUCUUCUGGAAGGUGGAGCUUUACCCAAAGUGGAAGUUAGCCUUGCUCAAAGAUGUGUUUUGUGGUAGGUGGUAAAAAUAAAUAAAUAAAUAAAUAAAUAAAUAAUAAAAAAAGAAACAUGUAUUGGAGGUAAUUUGACACUGCUGCUGGCAGUAGUUCUCUAUUCACCAUUUUAAAGCCCAUUCAGGUUCUCUCUUCCUGAAAAGAACUGAUUGCUGUGUUUACAUGAAAUGACAUUGGAGUCAUAUGGUCUGUUUUAAAGAUUUCCAUGACAGCCUCUUUUCCUGAGUUGGAGAGAUUGGAGGUGGUCUAUCCGUACGAUGUGGAAUCAAACGGUGGGUUUCUUAGUAGCUAAAGAAGCCAUGUACUUCUAGUGUGUUUCUCAGAAUAUCAACUCAUGUUCUUCAGAUGCUUUUCUUUUUUUAAUGGUGAGGGAAAAGGUAUAAUUUGGGAUUCCACAGUGCCUUGCAUAUAGUAGGCGCCCAAUAAAUACUUGUUGAAGCAAACCAAGUUUCCCAAGUCCUCAUCUCUUAUAGUGACCAAGACAUCUUUCUCCUCUGAAGGGCUUGGCAGUUGUGGCUAAAAAAUAAGCAGUAUCAUUAUUUGCUUGAAAUCAUAUAUACAGUUUGUAUGAAUUUCAGUAUGUUGCCAAGACAUGAUCUUUUUCUUAUUGUAUUUUCUGUAAAUAUUUCUGGCACUGAACUGUAAAGUAAAGGCAAAGUGUAAAUAUGAAGGCGUGCCCGUGCCCCUUGCCUCCUGUGUUUCAUCUUCGUCGGUUAGGGAAGAAGGUCCAGAGGUUUGUUUGUAUUUAUGCCGAUCCUUUGUCCAGAAGAAGCCCAUGGAAUAUUGAAUGUAAUACAUUUAGUCAAUUAAAUUUUAAGGAGAUUCUUAUCUAAUAACUUUGUGUGUG